CACAUACUCCCUCCGUCCGGAAAUACUUGUCAUCAAAAUGAAUAAAAGGGGAGAUGACAAGUAUUUUCUGACGGAGGGAGUAUAAC
rnacentral:pre_miRNA from 1 species